GCUUUCGUGGUGUAGUGGUGAACACGCUGUACGCGUAACUGAGAGGUCCGUGGUUCGAUUCCCGGAGAGAGCG
rfam:Stegodyphus mimosarum contig44011, whole genome shotgun sequence.